GAGUUUGAUCGUGGCUCAGAUUGAACGCUGGCGGUAUGCUUAACACAUGCAAGUCGAACGGUAACAGGAGAGAGCUUGCUCUUUUGCUGACGAGUGGCGGACGGGUGAGUAAUGCGUAGGAAUCUGCCUAGUAGUGGGGGACAACGUGUGGAAACGCACGCUAAUACCGCAUACGCCCUACGGGGAAGCGGGGAGUCUUCGGACCUCGCGCUAUUAGAUGAGCCUACGUUAGAUUAGCUAGUUGGUGGGGUAAAGGCCUACCAAGGCGACGAUCUAUAGCUGGUCUGAGAGGAUGAUCAGCCACACUGGGACUGGGACACGGCCCAGACUCCUACGGGAGGCAGCAGUGGGGAAUAUUGGACAAUGGGCGAAAGCCUGAUCCAGCAAUACCGCGUGUGUGAAGAAGGCCUGAGGGUUGUAAAGCACUUUCAAUUGUGAAGAAAUAUUUAAGGUUAAUAACCUUAAAAUUUUGUACGUUAACUUUAGUAAGAAGCACCGGC
rnacentral:rRNA from 1 species